AGAGUUUGAUCAUGGCUCAGGAUGAACGCUAGCUACAGGCUUAACACAUGCAAGUCGAGGGGAAACGACAUCGAAAGCUUGCUUUUGAUGGGCGUCGACCGGUGCACGGGUGAGUAACGCGUAUCCAACCUGCCCACCACUUGGGGAUAACCUUGCGAAAGUAAGACUAAUACCCAAUGACGUCUCUAGAAGACAUCUGAAAGAGAUUAAAGAUUUAUCGGUGAUGGAUGGGGAUGCGUCUGAUUAGCUUGUUGGCGGGGUAACGGCCGCCAAGGCUACGAUCAGUAGGGGUUCUGAGAGGAACGGUCCCCCANAUUGGAACUGAGACACGGUCCAAACUCCUACGGGAGGCA
rnacentral:rRNA from 1 species